UACGUAGGAGGCGAGCGUUGUCCGGAUUUACUGGGCGUAAAGCGUGCGCAGGCGGUUAUGCAAGACAGAUGUGAAAUCCCCGGGCUCAACCUGGGAACUGCAUUUGUGACUGCAUGGCUAGAGUACGGUAGAGGGGGAUGGAAUUCCGCGUGUAGCAGUGAAAUGCGUAGAUAUGCGGAGGAACACCGAUGGCGAAGGCAAUCCCCUGGACCUGUACUGACGCUCAUGCACGAAAGCGUGGGGAGCAAACAGG
rnacentral:rRNA from 1 species